rnacentral:miRNA from 2 species
GCUACGCCGACGGCGUUGGCUGCUCGUUCUGGCCCGAUAAUGUUGCCCAGCUCGCAAGAGUCGGUGUCUUGUUGUCGGUAGUUGGUUCGUGGCGGCUAGCGUUUAGUUACGCUAGUG